AAUAGAUACCCCGGUAGUCCACGCCGUAAACGAUGAGUGCUAAGUGUUAGGGGGUUUCCGCCCCUUAGUGCUGCAGCUAACGCAUUAAGCACUCCGCCUGGGGAGUACGGUCGCAAGACUGAAACUCAAAGGAAUUGACGGGGGCCCGCACAAGCGGUGGAGCAUGUGGUUUAAUUCGAAGCAACGCGAAGAACCUUACCAGGUCUUGACAUCCCACUGACCGCUAUGGAGACAUAGUUUUCCCUUCGGGGACAGUGGUGACAGGUGGUGCAUGGUUGUCGUCAGCUCGUGUCGUGAGAUGUUGGGUUAAGUCCCGCAACGAGCGCAACCCUUGAUCUUAGUUGCCAUCAUUUAGUUGGGCACUCUAAGGUGACUGCCGGUGACAAACCGGAGGAAGGUGGGGAUGACGUCAAAUCAUCAUGCCCCUUAUGACCUGGGCUACACACGUGCUACAAUGGACGGUACAAACGGUUGCCAACCCGCGAGGGGGAGCUAAUCCGAUAAAAUCGUUCUCAGUUCGGAUUGUAGGCUGCAACUCGCCUACAC
rnacentral:rRNA from 1 species